UACGAAAGGGGGCUAGCGUUGCUCGGAAUCACUGGGGCGUAAAAGCGCACGUAGGCGGCUUUCUAAGUCAGGGGUGAAAUCCUGGAGCUCAACUCCAGAACUGCCUUUGAUACUGGGAGAGCUUGAGUCCGGAAGAGGUGAGUGGAACUCCGAGUGUAGAGGUGAAAUUUCGUAGAUAUUCGGAAGAACACCAGUGGCGAAGGCGGCUCACUGGUCCGGUACUGACGCUGAGGUGCGAAAGCGUGGGGAGCAAACAGGG
rnacentral:rRNA from 1 species